AAGUCGUAACAAGGUUUCCGUAGGUGAACCUGCGGAAGGAUCAUUAACACGUUCCAAAACGUAUCAACCAAACGGUUAAGUGCAAACUUAUUCCCUCAUACAGGGAGCUGUUCAUCUGAAUCUAGUGAUGGGUAAGUCUUCGGGCUUACAGAAGCAGAUGAGCUAGGGUCUCGAGCCCAAAGUUCCUUAUGUGAGGCUUUCCUUUUUUUUUCCCAUCACUUCCCAACUAACCAUUUUCACCCCUUUAAACCAUUUGACUAAAUCUUUCGAACGAAGAAAUUUGUUUGGAAUUGUAUAUCUAACACUGUACAACUCUUAGCAAUGGAUAUCUUGGUUCUC
rnacentral:misc_RNA from 1 species